rnacentral:rRNA from 1 species
AUAAUGAGAUAAGUCGUAACAUAGUAGAUGUACUGGAAAGUGUAUCUAGGAUUAACAU